GCUCUUUGAUUUUUGUUAUAAAGAGUCGGGCCUGCCCGGUGAGUGAUUUAACGGCUGCAAUGAGAAUUGUACUAAGGUAGCGUGAUAGUUUGUUUUUUAAUUGGAAAAUGGAAUGAAUGGUUUAACGUAAAAAAUCUGUCUAUUUAAAAUAAAGUGAAGUUUCCUUUUAAGUUAAAAGGCUUAAUUUUUUGUAAAAGACGAGAAGACCCUGCGAGCUUGAAUAUAAAUAAUGAUUUUUUUAUUUUAAAGUUUUGUUGGGGCAAUAUAAGAUAAAAUAAACAUCUUAUUAAAAUAAAAAUCCUUUUUGAAAGAAAAUAGAAGAAGCUACCGCAGGGAUAACAGCGUUAUUUUUUCUAAGAGAUCUUAUUGAGGAAAAAGUUUGCGACCUCGAUGUUGGAUUAGAGGAACUGUGUGGUGUAGCAGCUACAGCUGGUAAGACUGUUCGUCUUUUAAAUCUUU
rnacentral:rRNA from 2 species